AAUUCUUUUAAUUUUCAAAAAAUAAAUAUCGUACAUUUAUCUUUAAGUUUUAUUUCUUAACUGUCAUAUCUAUAAAGCGGAAAAUAAAAUAAACUGCAAGAUUUCGGUUAAACAUAAAUUUAAUAAAUGUAUUUUUUAUACUUUUGCUACAUAUCUGCUAAAGGACGGAAAUAAAAAGUAUUGUCGCAACUAUAUACAAAGGCAAACGGUGACAUCUGCUCCAUUUCCGGUCAAUCAAAAAGAACUUCAAUACUCUAAGUUAUUAACAAAAAGUUUGAUAGUCAAAAUGGUUCAUACAACGAUUUACGAUGAAGCCCCAAAGCUAAAGAUGAACGAAGUUCCCCAAAAAAUGGCUGCCGAAGCUGAAACUCACUUGGAUCAUAUGUGCCGCUUGCAGUUCGACUCUCCCGUGCCACAUGUUCGCCUUUCCGGCAUUGUAUGCACCAUUGGACCUGUCUCGCGCAGUGUUGAGAUGCUGGAGAAAAUGAUGGCAACCGGCAUGAAUGUGGCACGCAUGAACUUCUCUCACGGUUCGCAUGAGUACCAUGCCGAAACUGUCGCCAAUGUUCGCAUUGCUGCUAAAAACUAUUCAGCAAAGAUUGGUUAUGAAUAUCCAAUUGCCGUUGCCUUGGAUACCAAGGGACCCGAGAUCCGUACUGGCCUUAUUGAGGGCAGCGGCUCUGGUGAGGUUGAAUUGAAAAAGAAUGAACUCAUUACGCUGUCCACCGAUCCAGCUUUCCUCGAGAAGGGCAACAAGGACACCAUCUUUGUGGACUAUGCAAAUAUUGUCAAGGUAGUGAAACCAGGCAAUCGCGUCUUCGUUGAUGAUGGUCUUAUCUCGUUAAUUGUAAAAGAAGUGAAAGCCGAUGCCUUGGUGUGUCAAAUUGAGAAUGGUGGCGCCUUGGGCUCACGCAAGGGUGUUAACUUGCCCGGUGUACCCGUCGACUUGCCAGCUGUAUCGGAGAAAGACAAAUCUGAUUUGAAAUUCGGUGUAGAGCAGAAGGUCGAUAUGAUUUUCGCUUCGUUUAUUCGUAAUGCGGCAGCACUCACGGAAAUCCGUGGUGUUUUGGGUGAAGAGGGCAAGAACAUCAAGAUUAUCUCAAAGAUUGAAAACCAACAGGGUAUGCAUAACCUGGACGAAAUUAUCGAAGCAUCAGAUGGUAUUAUGGUGGCACGUGGUGAUUUGGGUAUUGAAAUUCCACCAGAAAAGGUAUUCUUGGCACAGAAGGCUAUGAUUGCACGCUGCAACAAAGCUGGCAAACCAGUGAUUUGCGCCACACAAAUGUUGGAAUCGAUGGUGAAGAAGCCGCGCCCAACACGUGCUGAAAUCUCCGAUGUGGCUAAUGCCAUUCUCGAUGGCGCUGACUGUGUGAUGUUGUCCGGUGAGACCGCCAAGGGUGAAUAUCCUCUGGAAUGUGUGCUUACAAUGGCAAAGACAUGCAAAGAGGCUGAAGCCGCAUUGUGGCAUAGAUUUUUGUUUGCCGAUUUAGUACGUGCCACGCCCACUUCCACCCUGGAUUCGGCACAUGCCGUGGCCAUUGCAGCCGUUGAAGCUGCCUCGAAAUCAUUGGCGGCCGCUAUUGUGGUUAUUACAACUUCUGGAAAGUCUGCUCAUAUGAUUAGCAAGUAUCGUCCACGUUGCCCAAUCCUUGCAGUCACACGUUUCCCACAAACUGCUAGACAGGCGCAUUUAUACCGCGGCAUCAUACCACUCGUCUAUACUGAACCGGCACUAUCUGACUGGUUGAAGGACGUCGAUGUUCGUGUACAAUUUGGCGUGCAAGUGGGCAAGAAGAAUGGUUUCCUUAAAUCUGGUGAUCCAGUGGUCAUUGUCACUGGCUGGAAGCAGGGAUCUGGAUUCACAAACACCAUGCGUAUUGUGUGCGUAGAUCAAGAAGAAUCUGAAGAGUGUGGAUGUCCUGAAUAAGUGGAGUGAUUAUGGCAAGAAUGUUUGAUGUUGAAUGACUGAGUGCAAUGUGAAGUUUUGACCACAUUGAAUAAAAACCGCCGUUGCUAUGCUACGUCGGAGUCAGAAGAAAAUUAGAAGCGCUCAAGGACAAGCGCACAACUUCAUCAUGUUGCAGCGAAAUUCAAACACACAUGCAUAUGUAUAUUAAAUACAAAUCUACCUAUCCAUCGGAUAUCCACAUAAUAAUUCACUCAAACUGCGAAUGUUAUUAAUUAAAUGUUGGUAUUAAUACUCUGCACUAGUGAAGAGGACUAUUAAAUGUUAUGAAAUACAAAUACAAAUACACAUAUACAAGACAAACAAA